rnacentral:tRNA from 1 species
AGAAGAUUAGUUUAAACAAAAUAGUUUGUUUACACCAAACAGAUCUUAGAAAGAUUUUCUA